AUACGGAGGAUCCGAGCGUUAUCCGGAUUUAUUGGGUUUAAAGGGUGCGCAGGCGGCCAUUUAAGUCAGCAGUUAAAUCGUGGGGCUCAACCCCAUUCUGCCGUUGAUACUGGGUGGCUUGAUUGCGGUCGAGGUUGGCGGAAUUCGUUGUGUAGCGGUGAAAUGCAUAGAUAUGACGAAGAACACCGAUUGCGUAGGCAGCUGACCAGACCGCAAAUGACGCUCAUGCACGAAAGUGCGGGGAUCGAACAGGAUUAGAUACCCUGGUAGUCCGCACAGUAAACGAUGAAUACUUGUUUUCGGCGAUAUAAUGUCGGAGGCAAAGCGAAAGCGAUAAGUAUUCCAUCUGGGGAGUACGCCGGCAACGGUGAAACUCAAAUGAAUUGACGGGG
rnacentral:rRNA from 1 species